rnacentral:misc_RNA from 1 species
AUCAGAACAAUAUCAUCCGCAGACACCAAGAAAUUAAAAUCACAUCCUCAUCAUCACUAGUCAGAUACUGAAUCUAUCUGACAUCAGAACUCAGAAGUAAAUAGAUAAUAGCAAUAUAAGGAGCAAACUUGAAAGCACAGCCGGUAAACAAACAAGGAAGAGUGAAUUAAAAGGGGCUCCUAAAACAGUGAUAUGCCAUAAAGGCAAUGUUAAAUUUGGAGAGAAUACUGACAAAUUAAAUAUUAGUUCAUUUUUAAUUUGGGCUUAUAUAAGUG